GCUUACGGCCACACCGGCCUGAGUACGCCUGAUCUCGUCCCAUCUCGGAAGCUAAGCAGGGUCGGGCCUGGUUAGUACUUGGAUGGGAGACCGCCUGGGAAUACCAGGUGCUGUAAGCU
ensembl:rRNA 5S_rRNA 5S ribosomal RNA